GAUGAAGAACGUAGCGAAAUGCGAUACUUGGUGUGAAUUGCAGAAUCCCGUGAACCAUCGAGUUUUUGAACGCAAGUUGCGCCCGAAGCCACUAGGCCGAGGGCACGCCUGCCUGGGCGUCACACGUCGUUGCCCCCCCCCCAUCUACUCCUUCGGGAUUGCGGGGGGCGGAUGAUGGCCCCCCGUGCGCCUAGCCGCGCGGUUGGCAUAAAUACCAAGUCCUCGGCGACGCACGCCACGACAAUCGGUGGUUGCGAAACCUCGGUUGCCCGUCGUGUGCGUUCGUCGCGCAUCGAGGGCUCGAAAAAAUGCUCGGCUCCGGCUCGGCUUUCAACGCGACCCCAGGUCAGGCGGGGUUACCCGCUGAAUUUAAGCAUAUCAAUAAGCGGAGGA
rnacentral:misc_RNA from 1 species